UACGGGGGGGGCAAGCGUUGUUCGGAAUUACUGGGCGUAAAGGGCUCGUAGGCGGCCAACUAAGUCAGACGUGAAAUCCCCAGGCUUAACCUGGGAACUGCGUCUGAUACUGGAUGGCUUGAAUCCGGGAGAGGGAUGCAGAAUUCCAGGUGUAGCGGUGAAAUGCGUAGAUAUCUGGAGGAAUACCGGUGGCGAAGGCGGCAUCCUGGACCGGCAUUGACGCUGAGGAGCGAAAGCAUGGGGAGCGAACAGG
rnacentral:rRNA from 1 species